UAGGGAAUCUUCGGCAAUGGACGAAAGUCUGACCGAGCAACGCCGCGUGAGUGAAGAAGGUUUUCGGAUCGUAAAACUCUGUUGUUAGAGAAGAACAAGGACGUUAGUAACUGAACGUCCCCUGACGGUAUCUAACCAGAAAGCCACGGCUAACUACGUGCCAGCAGCCGCGGUAAUACGUAGGUGGCAAGCGUUGUCCGGAUUUAUUGGGCGUAAAGCGAGCGCAGGCGGUUUAUUAAGUCUGAUGUGAAAGCCCCCGGCUCAACCGGGGAGGGUCAUUGGAAACUGGGAGACUUGAGUGCAGAAGAGGGGAGUGGAAUUCCAUGUGUAGCGGUGAAAUGCGUAGAAAUAUGGAGGAAAACCAGUGGCGAAGGCGGCUCUCUGGUCAGUAACUGACGCUGAGGCUCGAAAGCGUGGGGAGCAAACAGG
rnacentral:rRNA from 1 species